GACAGAGGGUGCAAACGUUGUUCGGAUUUACUGGGCGUAAAGGGCGCGUAGGCGGCCACCGCAAGUCGACUGUGAAAUCUCCGGGCUUAACCCGGAAAGGUCAGCCGAUAACGGCGGGGCUAGAGUGCAGAAGGGGCAACUGGAAUUCUCGGUGUAGCGGUGAAAUGCGUAGAUAUCGAGAGGAACACCUGCGGCGAAGGCGGGUUGCUGGCUGACACUGACGCUGAUGCGCGAAAGCUAGGGGAGCGAACGGG
rnacentral:rRNA from 1 species